GGCAGGCUUAACACAUGCAAGUCGAGCGCCCUUUUCGGAGGGAGCGGCAGACGGGUGAGUAACGCGUGGGAAUCUACCUAUCUCUAGGGAAUAACUCAGGGAAACUUGUGCUAAUACCCUAUACGUCCUUCGGGAGAAAGAUUUAUCGGAGAUGGAUGAGCCCGCGUUGGAUUAGCUAGUUGGUGGGGUAAAGGCCUACCAAGGCGACGAUCCAUAGCUGGUCUGAGAGGAUGAUCAGCCACACUGGGACUGAGACACGGCCCAGACUCCUACGGGAGGCAGCAGUGGGGAAUAUUGGACAAUGGGCGCAAGCCUGAUCCAGCCAUGCCGCGUGAGUGAUGAAGGCCCUAGGGUUGUAAAGCUCUUUCACCGGUGAAGAUAAUGACGGUAACCGGAGAAGAAGCCCCGGCUAACUUCGUGCCAGCAGCCGCGGUAAUACGAAGGGGGCUAGCGUUGUUCGGAUUUACUGGGCGUAAAGCGCACGUAGGCGGAUUGGUCAGUUAGGGGUGAAAUCCCAGGGCUCAACCCUGGAACUGCCUUUAAUACUGGCACGCGAGUGUGAGCUAAUCUCCAAAAGCCAUCUCAGUUCGGAUUGCACUCUGCAACUCGAGUGCAUGAAGUUGGAAUCGCUAGUAAUCGCGGAUCAGCAUGCCGCGGUGA
rnacentral:rRNA from 1 species